rnacentral:tRNA from 1 species
GGAGAGAUGGCUCAGCGGUUAAGAGCACUGACUGUUCUUUCAGGGGACCUGGGUUCAAAUCCCAGCACCC